GACAGAGGGUGCAAACGUUGCUCGGAAUCACUGGGCGUAAAGGGCGUGUAGGCGGGUAGGCAAGUCGGGCGUGAAAUCCCUGAGCUCAACUCAGGAACUGCACUCGAAACUGCUUAUCUUGAGUGCCGGAGAGGAAAGCGGAAUACCUGGUGUAGAGGUGAAAUUCGUAGAUAUCAGGUGGAACACCAGUGGCGAAGGCGGCUUUCUGGACGGUAACUGAC
rnacentral:rRNA from 1 species